rnacentral:rRNA from 1 species
AUUGAACGCUGGCGGCAUGCUUUACACAUGCAAGUCGAACGGUAACAGCACUUCGGUGGCUGACGAGUGGCGAACGGGUGAGUAAUACAUCGGAACGUGCCUAGUAGUGGGGGAUAACUACUCGAAAGAGUAGCUAAUACCGCAUGAGAUCUAAGGAUGAAAGCAGGGGACCUUCGGGCCUUGCGCUACUAGAGCGGCUGAUGGCAGAUUAGGUAGUUGGUGGGAUAAAAGCUUACCAAGCCGACGAUCUGUAGCUGGUCUGAGAGGACGACCAGCCACACUGCGACUGGGACACGGCCCAGACUCCUACGGGAGGCAGCAGUGGGGAAUUUUGGACAAUGGGCGCAAGCCUGAUCCAGCAAUGCCGCGUGCAGGAUGAAGGCCUUCGGGUUGUAAACUGCUUUUGUACGGAACGAAAAGCCCUCUUCUAAUACAGGAGGGUCAUGACGGUACCGUAAGAAUAAGCACCGGCUAACUACGUG